GGAAGAGUGGGCAAUUACACCAACGCCGAUGACAUCUUACUAUGCAAUACUUGGUUGCAAGUGUCGAAGGAUCCAUCCGUUGAAGGUGAUCAAAGUAGAGAUGCUUAUUGGGGGCGGAUGAAAGAACACUUUGAUGUUCACAACGUGAGUGGAAUUGACCGCUCCGAGAGAUCACUUCGGUCCCGAUGGUCGACAAUCAACUCGAAUUGUCAAAAGUGGGCGGCCGCACAAAAGGCGGUUGACAAGUUGAACCCAAGUGGCACCAAUGAGGACGAUAGAGUAAGUGAAGAGGAGAGGAAAACCAAGAAGGGGAAGAUCAAGAAAGGAAGGGUCUUUACCUUGCUUCAUUGCUAUUAA
rnacentral:rRNA from 1 species